AUUGAACGCUGGCGGCAGGCCUAACACAUGCAAGUCGAACGGUAACAGGGAUCAGCUUGCUGAUUCGCUGACGAGUGGCGGACGGGUGAGUAAUGUCUGGGACACUGCCUGAUGGAGGGGGAUAACUCCUGGAACCGGUAGCUAAUACCGCAUAACGUCGCAAGACCAAAGAGGGGGACCUUCGGGCCUCUUGCCAUCGGAUGUGCCCAGAUGGGAUUAGCUAGUAGGUGGGGUAACGGCUCACCUAGGCGACGAUCCCUAGCUGGUCUGAGAGGAUGACCAGCCACACUGGAACUGAGACACGGUCCAGACUCCUACGGGAGGCAGCAGUGGGGAAUAUUGCACAAUGGGCGCAAGCCUGAUGCAGCCAUGCCGCGUGUAUGAAGAAGGCCUUCGGGUUGUAAAGUACUUUCAGCGGGGAGGAAGGGAGUAAAGUUAAUACCUUUGCUCAUUGACGUUACCCGCAGAAGAAGCACCGGCUAACUCCGUG
rnacentral:rRNA from 1 species